UUUUAAUUAAAAUAUUAAACCAAUAGUGAAAAGGGACAUGUAAUCAUGAGUUGUAAAGAGUAUCUCAAAGUUUCUCACUACACUCUCUCUCUUUCAUUUUCAUUAUUUUGUUUUUUUUAUUGCGAGAAACUCUUAUGAAAAACUCUUAAUGGAGAUGGUCUAAUUUAUCAAGUUAUUUGAAGGAAAAAAAAAAAUGAUUAAUCGAAUUAGAUAGAUAGUUGUAUUCCCAGUAAACAAUUAUAGUUUUUUUUCAAAAAGGGUGAAAAUCUUAAAUUCCGUUUAGUUUUUUCUAAUUUUGAAAAUAUGUCUAUCUUAAAU
rnacentral:sRNA from 1 species